rnacentral:lncRNA from 1 species
GAGUCAAUGUGGAGGCUAUAUACAGGGGGUACCGGUACAGAGUCAAUGUGGAGGCUAUAUACAGGGGGUACCGGUACAGAGUCAAUGUGGAGGCUAUAUACAGGGGGGACCGGUACAGAGUCAAUGUGGAGGCUAUAUACAGGGGGUACCGGUACAGAGUCAAUGUGGAGGCUAUAUACAGGGUAUUACGGUACAGAGUCAAUGUGGAGGCUAUAUACAGGGUAUUACGGUACAGAGUCAAUGUGGAGGCUAUAUACAGGGGGUACCGGUACAGAGUCAAUGUGGAGGCUAUAUACAGGGGGUACCGGUACAGAGUCAAUGUGGAGGCUAUAUACAGGGGGUACCGGUACUGAGUCAAUGUGGAGGCUAUAUACAGGGGGUACCGGUACAGAGUCAAUGUGGAGGCUAUAUACAGGGGGUACCGGUACUGAGUCAAUGUGGAGGCUAUAUACAGGGGGUACCGGUACAGAGUCAAUGUGGAGGCUAUAUACAGGGGGUACCGGUACAGAGUCAAUGUGGAGGCUAUAUACAGGGGGGUACCGGUACAGAGUCAAUGUGGAGGCUAUAUACAGGGGGUACCGGUACAGAGUCAAUGUGGAGGCUAUAUACAGGAGGUACCGGUACAGAGUCAAUGUGGAGGCUAUAUACAGGGGGUACCGGUACAGAGUCAAUGUGGAGGCUAUAUACAGGGGGUACCGGUACAGAGUCAA